rnacentral:rRNA from 1 species
UACGGAGGGUGCAAGCGUUGUCCGGAAUCACUGGGCGUAAAGGGCGCGUAGGCGGCUCAUGAAGGCUGUGGUGAAAGUCCGGGGCUCAACCUCGGAUCGGCCGUGGCGACUCGUGGGCUGGAGCACUGUAGAGGCGGGUGGAAUUCCGGGUGUAGCGGUGGAAUGCGUAGAGAUCGGGAGGAACACCAGUGGCGAAGGCGGCUACCUGGACCAGCACUGACACUGAGGCACGAAAGCGUGGGGAGCAAACAGG